rnacentral:rRNA from 1 species
UACGUAGGGUGCGAGCGUUAUCCGGAUUCACUGGGUUUAAAGGGUGCGUAGGCGGGCAGGUAAGUCAGUGGUGAAAUCUCCGGGCUUAACCCGGAACUGCCGUUGAUACUAUCUGUCUUGAAUAUCGUGGAGGUAAGCGGAAUAUGUCAUGUAGCGGUGAAAUGACUUAGAUAUGACAUAGAACACCGAUUGCGAAGGCAGCUUACUACACGAUCAUUGACGCUGAGGCACGAAAGCGUGGGGAGCAACAGG